ACGAACGCUGGCGGCGUGCCUAAUACAUGCAAGUAGAACGCUGAAGGAGGAGCUUGCUUCUCUGGAUGAGUUGCGAACGGGGGAGUAACGCGUAGGUAACCUGCCUGGUAGCGGGGGAGAACUAUUGGAAACGAUAGCUAAUACCGCAUAAGAGUAGAUGUCGCAUGACAUUUGCUUAAAAGGUGCAAUUGCAUCACUACCAGAUGGACCUGCGUUGUAUUAGCUAGUUGGUGAGGUAACGGCUCACCAAGGCAACGAUACAUAGCCGACCUGAGAGGGUGGUCGGCCCCCCUGGGACUGAGACCCGGCCCCGACCCCUACGGGAGGCAGCCGGAGGGAAUCUUCGGCAAUGGACGGAAGUCUGACCGAGCAACGCCGCGUGGGGGAAGAAGGUUUUCGGAUCGUAAAGCUCUGUUGUAAGAGAAGAACGAGUGUGAGAGUGGAAAGUUCACACUGUGACGGUAUCUUACCAGAAAGCGACGGCUAACUACGUG
rnacentral:rRNA from 1 species